rnacentral:rRNA from 1 species
GGUGAGUAACACGUGGGUAACCUGCCUGUAAGACUGGGAUAACUCCGGGAAACCGGGGCUAAUACCGGAUGGUUGUUUGAACCGCAUGGUUCAAAUAUAANAGGUGGCUUCGGCUACCACUUACAGAUGGACCCGCGGCGCAUUAGCUAGUUGGUGAGGUAACGGCUCACCAAGGCGACGAUGCGUAGCCGACCUGAGAGGGUGAUCGGCCACACUGGGACUGAGACACGGCCCAGACUCCUACGGGAGGCAGCAGUAGGGAAUCUUCCGCAAUGGACGAAAGUCUGACGGAGCAACGCCGCGUGAGUGAUGAAGGUUUUCGGAUCGUAAAGCUCUGUUGUUAGGGAAGAACAAGUACCGUUCGAAUAGGGCGGUACCUUGACGGUACCUAACCAGAAAGCCACGGCUAAAUACGUGCCAGCAGCCGCGGUAAUACGUAGGUGGCAAGCGUUGUCCGGAAUUAUUGGGCGUAAAGGGCUCGCAGGCGGUUUCUUAAGUCUGAUGUGAAAGCCCCCGGCUCAACCGGGGAGGGUCAUUGGAAACUGGGGAACUUGAGUGCANAANANGAGAGUGGAAUUCCACGUGUAGCGGUGAAAUGCGUANAGAUGUGGAGGAACACCAGUGGCGAAGGCGACUCUCUGGUCUGUAACUGACGCUGANGAGCGAAAGCGUGNGGAGCGAACAGGAUUANAUACCCUGGUAGUCCACGCC